UACGGAGGGAGCUAGCGUUGUUCGGAAUUACUGGGCGUAAAGCGCGCGUAGGCGGCUUUGUAGGUUAGAGGUGAAAGCCCGGGGCUCAACCCCGGAACAGCCUUUAAGACUGCAUCGCUAGAAUCCGGGAGAGGUGAGUGGAAUUCCGAGUGUAGAGGUGAAAUUCGUAGAUAUUCGGAAGAACACCAGUGGCGAAGGCGGCUCACUGGACCGGUAUUGACGCUGAGGUGCGAAAGCGUGGGGAGCAAACAGG
rnacentral:rRNA from 1 species